rnacentral:rRNA from 1 species
AGUGAACGCUGGCGGUAGGCCUAACACAUGCCAGUCGAACGGCAGCACAGUAAGAGCUUGCUCUUACGGGUGGCGAGUGGCGGACGGGUGAGGAAUACAUCGGAAUCUACUUUUUCGUGGGGGAUAACGUAGGGAAACUUACGCUAAUACCGCAUACGACCUACGGGUGAAAGCAGGGGAUCUUCGGACCUUGCGCGAUUGAAUGAGCCGAUGUCGGAUUAGCUAGUUGGCGGGGUAAAGGCCCACCAAGGCGACGAUCCGUAGCUGGUCUGAGAGGAUGAUCAGCCACACUGGAACUGAGACACGGUCCAGACUCCUACGAGAGGCAGCAGUGGGGAAUAUUGGACAAUGGGCGCAAGCCUGAUCCAGCCAUACCGCGUGGGUGAAGAAGGCCUUCGGGUUGUAAAGCCCUUUUGUUGGGAAAGAAAAGCAGCAGGUUAAUACCCCGCUGUUCUGACGGUACCCAAAGAAUAAGCACCGGCUAACUUCGUG